AGCCAUUCGGGAUAGUCAAUUUCAAAGAUGAACCCUGCCUCUAACAAUUUAGUAACCUCUUCGUCUAUAAUCUUCUGUCUUUCCGGGGCAAAGAUCCUUCUUUUCUGUAUCACUGGCUUCCUCUUUGGGUCGGUAUGAAGUCUAUGUAAUGCGAUUGAUUCACUUACUCCGGGCAUGUCGCUCGGUUCCCAGGCGAAGAUGUCGGCAUACACCCGAAGUAAUUCCACCAGACCCGUUCACAGCUGUUCGGAUAAUCCCGCCCCGAUCUUGACCAGUUUGUCUGGAUUUCCCGGUACCAACUCAACAUCCUCU
rnacentral:lncRNA from 1 species